UGGAAAGUCCGACGGUACAGGGUGAUAGUCCCGUACACCAAAAUGCACAGGUUGUGAACUCGAAGAGUAGGGCGGGACACGUGGUAUCCUGUCUGAAUAUGGGGGGACCAUCCUCCAAGGCUAAAUACUCCUGACUGACCGAUAGUGAACCAGUACCGUGAGGGAAAGGCGAAAAGAACCCCGGCGAGGGGAGUGAAAAAGAACCUGAAACCGUGUACGUACAAGCAGUGGGAGCACCUUCGGGUGUGACUGCGUACCUUUUGUAUAAUGGGUCAGCGACUUAUAUUCUGUAGCAAGGUUAACCGUAUAGGGGAGCCGCAGGGAAACCGAGUCUUAACUGGGCGUUAAGUUGCAGGGUAUAGACCCGAAACCCGGUGAUCUAGCCAUGGGCAGGUUGAAGGUUGGGUAACACUAACUGGAGGACCGAACCGACUAAUGUUGAAAAAUUAGCGGAUGACUUGUGGCUGGGGGUGAAAGGCCAAUCAAACCGGGAGAUAGCUGGUUCUCCCCGAAAGCU
rnacentral:rRNA from 1 species